CCUUCAGAUGUUGAUUAAGGAUUGGGCACUAUGAAACUUUAAACCAUUGAUAAAUAUCUGGAUGACUAAUGAGAUUGUUUUUAUGUUUUUCAGGGUCCCGACCACGAGGCCUCUGUCUCAAAAAUGACUAUGGGUCAUAGAUUCAAUCAUCUUCUGUUCCUUUUAUGGUGCUAAUAAUUAUUUAAAUUUUUUCCAGCCACUCCGCCUUCAUCUUCUCAUCUUACUUUCUGUGUACAUAUUUCCUCUCUAACAAGCACAAUUUUUUCUAUUUUUCAGUAAACCACAUUCUUCGGAUCAUACACGCUCUUAAUUUAAAAUUGCAGACCAGCUCAGACUCCGAAAAUAAUGAAAAGCGCAGUAUAGGAACGGAGUUUUUAGGGAAACGGUCUUGGAAACCUCGCAACAUUGGCUUGGAGGAAACACUUGCAAUCUAAAAAAUGAACUGUUGCUGAAAUAUGAGGACACCCAGGACACUUAUUCUACCUCUUCAACUUUUCCAAAAUAUCAAUAUCAUUUCCAGAGAAUAUCAGUUAAGAAAUAAUUGCGGAGAUGCAGUACCAGAUUAUGUUUCACUAUCUUCAUUCCCAGAAAUCAACAUUUAUUUCACAGACGUUAUCAUUUUCUAUUGGCUCCGGUAGGAGGAUCUUAAAAUAAAUAGUUAAAUAAAUAAAUGACAUCAAA